ACAGGCUUAACACAUGCAAGUCGAGGGGCAGCAUGGUCUUAGCUUGCUAAGGCCGAUGGCGACCGGCGCACGGGUGAGUAACACGUAUCCAACCUGCCGUCUACUCUUGGACAGCCUUCUGAAAGGAAGAUUAAUACAAGAUGGCAUCAUGAGUCCGCAUGUUCACAUGAUUAAAGGUAUUCCGGUAGACGAUGGGGAUGCGUUCCAUUAGAUAGUAGGCGGGGUAACGGCCCACCUAGUCUUCGAUGGAUAGGGGUUCUGAGAGGAAGGUCCCCCACAUUGGAACUGAGACACGGUCCAAACUCCUACGGGAGGCAGCAGUGAGGAAUAUUGGUCAAUGGGCGAGAGCCUGAACCAGCCAAGUAGCGUGAAGGAUGACUGCCCUAUGGGUUGUAAACUUCUUUUAUAAAGGAAUAAAGUCGGGUAUGGAUACCCGUUUGCAUGUACUUUAUGAAUAAGGAUCGGCUAACUCCGUGCCAGCAGCCGCGGUAAUACGGAGGAUCCGAGCGUUAUCCGGAUUUAUUGGGUUUAAAGGGAGCGUAGAUGGAUGUUUAAGUCAGUUGUGAAAGUUUGCGGCUCAACCGUAAAAUUGCAGUUGAUACUGGAUAUCUUGAGUGCAGUUGAGGCAGGCGGAAUUCGUGGUGUAGCGGUGAAAUGCUUAGAUAUCACGAAGAACUCCGAUUGCGAAGGCAGCCUGCUAAGCUGCAACUGACAUUGAGGCUCGAAAGUGUGGGUAUCAAACAGGAUUAGAUACCCUGGUAGUCCACACGGUAAACGAUGAAUACUCGCUGUUUGCGAUAUACGGCAAGCGGCCAAGCGAAAGCGUUAAGUAUUCCACCUGGGGAGUACGCCGGCAACGGUGAAACUCAAAGGAAUUGACGGGGGCCCGCACAAGCGGAGGAACAUGUGGUUUAAUUCGAUGAUACGCGAGGAACCUUACCCGGGCUUAAAUUGCAGAUGAAUUACGGUGAAAGCCGUAAGCCGCAAGGCAUCUGUGAAGGUGCUGCAUGGUUGUCGCCAGCUCGUGCCGUGAGGUGUCGGCUUAAGUGCCAUAACGAGCGCAACCCUUGUUGUCAGUUACUAACAGGUUCCGCUGAGGACUCUGACAAGACUGCCAUCGUAAGAUGUGAGGAAGGUGGGGAUGACGUCAAAUCAGCACGGCCCUUACGUCCGGGGCUACACACGUGUUACAAUGGGGGGUACAGAGGGCCGCUACCACGCGAGUGGAUGCCAAUCCCCAAAACCUCUUUCAGUUCGGACUGGAGUCUGCAACCCGACUCCACGAAGCUGGAUUCGCUAGUAAUCGCGCAUCAGCCACGGCGCGGUGAAUACGUUCCCGGGCCUUGUACACACCGCCCGUCAAGCCAUGGGAGCCGGGGGUACCUGAAGUGCGUAACCGCGAGGAGCGCCCUAGGGUAAAACUGGUGACUGGGGCUAAGUCA
rnacentral:rRNA from 1 species